rnacentral:rRNA from 1 species
AGUGAACGCUGGCGGUAGGCCUAACACAUGCAAGUCGAACGGCAGCACAGUAAGAGCUUGCUCUUACGGGUGGCGAGUGGCGGACGGGUGAGGACUACAUCGGCAUCUACUUUUUCGUGGGGGAUAACGUAGGGAAACUUACGCGAAUACCGCAUACGACCUACGGGUGAAAGCAGGGGAUCUUCGGACCUUGCGCGAUUGAAUGCGCCGAUGUCGGAUUAGCUAGUUGGCGGGGUAAAGGCCCACCAGGGCGACGAUCCGUAGCUGGUCUGAGAGGAUGGUCAGCCACACUGGAACUGAGACACGGUCCAGACGCCUACGGGAGGCAGCAGUGGGGAAUAUUGGACAAUGGGCGCAAGCCUGAUCCAGCAAUACCGCGUGGGUGAAGAAGGCAUUCGGGUUGUAAAGCCCUUUUGUUGGGAAAGAAAAGCAGCAGGUUAAUACCCCGCUGUUCUGACGGUACCCAAAGAAUAAGCACCGGCUAACUUCGUG